rnacentral:tRNA from 1 species
GCCCCCGUAGCUCAGUGGCAGAGCACCCGCCUUGUAAGCGGAAGGUCGUGGGUUCGAACCCCACCCGGGGCU